rnacentral:rRNA from 1 species
AGCGAACGCUGGCGGCAGGCUUAACACAUGCAAGUCGAGCGGGCCCUUCGGGGUCAGCGGCGGACGGGUGAGUAACGCGUGGGAACGUGCCUUCUGGUCUGGAAUAACCCUGGGAAACUAGGGCUAAUACCGGAUACGCCCUUUUGGGGAAAGGUUUACUGCCGGAAGAUCGGCCCGCGUCUGAUUAGCUAGUUGGUGGGGUAACGGCCUACCAAGGCGACGAUCAGUAGCUGGUCUGAGAGGAUGAUCAGCCACACUGGGACUGAGACACGACCCAGACUCCUACGGGAGGCAGCAGUGGGGAAUAUUGGACAAUGGGCGCAAGCCUGAUCCAGCCAUGCCGCGUGAGUGAUGAAGGCCUUAGGGUUGUAAAGCUCUUUUAUCCGGGACGAUAAUGACGGUACCGGAGGAAUAAGCCCCGGCUAACUUCGUG